CCUACGGGUGGCAGCAGUGAGGAAUAUUGGUCAAUGGACGAGAGUCUGAACCAGCCAAGUAGCGUGAAGGAUGACUGCCCUAUGGGUUGUAAACUUCUUUUAUAUGGGAAUAAAAUGUUCCACGUGUGGGAUUUUGUAUGUACCAUAUGAAUAAGGAUCGGCUAACUCCGUGCCAGCAGCCGCGGUAAUACGGAGGAUCCGAGCGUUAUCCGAAUUUAUUGGGUUUAAAGGGAGCGUAGGUGGAUUGUUAAGUCAGUUGUGAAAGUUUGCGGCUCAACCGUAAAAUUGCAGUUGAAACUGGCAGUCUUGAGUACAGUAGAGGUGGGCGGAAUUCGUGGUGUAGCGGUGAAAUGCUUAGAUAUCACGAAGAACUCCGAUUGCGAAGGCAGUUCACUGGACUGCAACUGACACUGAGGCUCGAAAGUGUGGGUAUCAAACAGGAUUAGAUACCCUUGUAGUC
rnacentral:rRNA from 1 species